CAGGGUUAUAAAUCUAAAGGUACGAAACAGUUUAACAUUUCAAGUUUAUUUAAUCCACUUUCAUUACAAAUCCCUCAUAUAUGGUAAGAAUAAUUCCAACAAUGGCAAAAUAUAACCAUUUAUGGAUAUGCAUAGGUAAAUUCUAUCGUAUCUGUUGUGAUAAGUUGAUUCUAUCCCAUAUUGAACAUGCUAUUUUAUCCAUUUGCUCAUUCCAAUGUAGGUUAUCGUUAAUAAAUAAACAAAGACGCUUUACACAAUAUACAGUGUCUAAUCAUUCAUCGGAAAUAUUGAUAUCUAAACUGUUCCCAGUUGAAUAAAGACUCUGUUUAAAUCCUUUAAUC
rnacentral:lncRNA from 1 species